AUUGAACGCUGGCGGCAGGCCUAACACAUGCAAGUCGGGCGAGCGGCGGACGGGUGAGUAAUGUAUGGGGACUGCCCGAUAGAGGGGGAUAACUACUGGAAACGGUGGCUAAUACCGCAUACUAUCGGAUAACCCAUAUGGGAUUAGCUAGUAGGUGGGGUAAAGGCUCACCUAGGCGACGAUCUCUAGCUGGUCGGAGAGGAUGAUCAGCCACACUGGGAAUGAGACACGGCCCAGACUCCUACGGAGGCAGCAGUGGGGAAUAUUGCACAAUGGACGAAAGCCUGAGGCAGCCAUGCCGCGUGUAUGAAGAAGGCCUUAGGGUUGUAAAAUACUUUCAUCGGGGAGGCGGUACCCAAAGAAAAAGCACCGGCUAACUCCGUGUCAGCAGCCGCGGUAAUUC
rnacentral:rRNA from 1 species